AGAACUACGGUACCCGGCUAAAGGCUUGACAUUGUUUCGACCGGCACGUUAAGGAUCCCUGGCAGCGUUUGCCCCGGCUCACGGCUUCGCAAGUUCACAUUGUUUUGACCGGAAGAGAGUGGUGCCGGCCCCAAAUCGAACAAGCGACCGGAGAGGAAUGGGGGCGGAGUGCCGUUACGAAGUAGCGCAGGCCGCCUACAUAAAGCUGGUCCUCCACGCCCUCAAGCACCGCUGCUCUCCCGUCAGCGGCCUCCUCGUCGGCCGCCUUUCCGACGACGACGCCUCCACCGUCCAGAUCGGCGACGCCAUUCCCCUUACCCACUCCCAGAUCGGUCUUCUCCCCUCCCUCGAACUUGCCCUGAUCCAGGUAGAAGAACGCUUCGGGGCUCAGGGGUUGAAUGUGGUGGGCUACUACCACGCGAAUGAAAGGUACGAUGACGCCGAGCUCGGGAACGCCGCCAAGAAGAUCGGCGAUCAUAUAUUCCGAUACUUUCCCCGUGCUGCCUUGCUUUUGUUGGACAAUAAGAGGCUGGAAGAGUUGCUGAAAGGGAAAGGGCGGGAUCUUGCAUUGCAGCAAGUGCCUUUGUACUUUCUUAUCUUGCUCCACAACUGUGCAGCUGCACACAAGGGAUUUAUCAAAAAGCUGGCGGCAAGCUGGAUUAGAUGGUGGUAAUCAGCUAACCAUAAAAGAGCCCUCAGCCAACGUACUGUUGUUGGAUUAUAUUUCUUCUGAGAAAUGGCAAGACAUAGUCGAUUUUGAUGAUCAUCUUGAUGACAUUAGCAAAGAUUGGCUGAAUCCUGAUCUCUUCAAGUAAUUUGUUCACUAUUUGCUGCCAAGAGAAUGGAACGGCAUAAAAGAGAGAAGAACUUGGACUUUUGUUGUACCAGGGAUUGGUACUCUGAGUAUACCACUUUUCUUGCAAAAGAAGACCAUUGCAAAGAACUACCAAAUGGAGCAAGGACCAUGUAGAGCAACCGGAGACCUCGAACGAUUACAAAUUUUCUCCUCCCUUUCUUCAUUUCUCUCGAGGGAAAAAGAAAGAAAAGAAAAAGAAAAAGAAAGAACCUUGGACAACGGGACAAGUUAGCAAGCUCCAUGAUGUCAAUUCCUUCUCACUGUAAUUAUUAGGUUUGGUGUUGAACAUCUGACUUAUGGCUGGGACUCAAACUGGAGAUGAAGGUCCAAAGACUUUUGGAACGGUUUUGGGCCCAAAGAUAAGUAUAUCAGAUAUACCAAUUAUCUAUAUUAUAAACCACGGUAUCCUGUCCAUUCAUUCCUUUGUGAUGGAUGGAUUUGAUGGUGGGAGAACAAAAGAAAAAGGUAUGGCCCAACUGAGUUUUGUUUAA